AUGUUGAAUUUGGAGAUGGCUUUUAAAGUUAAGUGGCAGCCGCAUUGGAAACUUUACUCAGUUGUCAUGAUCCUAAGAGAUGACUCGUUCAUCAAACAAUUUAAGGCUCCAUGGGAAACAACCCAGGUUCUAGAUGGAUUAAGUGAAUCAACAACCUUUGAAGGCUUGUCUGAAGGAGAACUCUCAUCAACCAAGCUUAAGAAGAUUAUCAAAAUGGAGAAGAAGGACUAG